rnacentral:rRNA from 1 species
GAUCCUGGCUCAGAUUGAACGCUGGCGGCAUGCUUUACACAUGCAAGUCGAACGGCAGCACAGGGAGCUUGCUCCCGGGUGGCGAGUGGCGCACGGGUGAGUAAUACAUCGGAACGUGUCCUGUUGUGGGGGAGUAACUGCUCGAAAGGGUGGCUAAUACCGCAUGAGACCUGAGGGUGAAAGCGGGGGAUCGGCAAGACCUCGCGCAAUUGGAGCAGCCGAUGCCCGAUUAG